CUCGUAUAUAUGUGAUUGAUUUUAUUGUCAAACACAGAUCCUACUACUACUGUUGAUUCUCAGGCAAACAAGGAAGCAGCUGAUGAACGUUCUGUUUUCGUUGGCAAUAAAAGAAGACAAAGGAUAAGCAUAGAAGUAAACAUCGCUGCUUGGGUGAUAUUGAUUGGAAAUUGAAGUUGAAAGUUGAUAUUGAUUGGACACUAACUCUUAAGACGUUGCUGGAAACUCAAAAGAUAUUUUGCUGAAUGCUCAAACUUUGAUGGUUGAUGCAUAGUUGCUUAUAUAUGCUUGAUUUAUGUUUGAUGGUUGCAUGAUUAACUGUUUUUGGUUAUAUGGAGAUUGUAAGUUACAUGAUUGGCUUUGUAAUUCAUACAUGAAGGCAAUGUAAUGUAGUUUGG